AUACUCACUUUGGCAGUACAUAUACUAAAUCUGGAACGAUACAGAGAGGAUUAGCAAGGCCUCUGCGCGAGGAUGACACGCAUAUUUGCAAAGCGUUCCAUAUUUUU